CCUCCUCAAUUUCUUACUCUGCCUCUUCGAUCUCUCCUCAAGAUGGAAACCACAAUCGCGUGUUCUGCUCUGAAGUUUUGAAUCCACCUUUUAAUCCUCUUCAAUCUCUUGCUCUAACUCUUCGAUCUCUCUUCCGCCACCGUCAUCGAAGCCUUCGUCGCGUCAUCGUCACCGUCAACGUGAGUUCUCUACUCUAGGAUCUGAAUUGGAAACUCUUAAGGUUCACAAGUCUUUCAUGCUAGUUCUCUUACCUGAUUGUGCCUUAAGCGAUUCAUCAACAUCAUGCAAUGGAGUUUCUUAUUGCAGAUC